GCCAUUUUCUGACAUUUGAAAAGAUCUGAAGAUACGCCCCUUGGAUGCCUGCAGAGAAGCUCUGGGGCUUCAGUCAAUGACUCAGGGUAGCCUCCGAACAUGAUGCUCGCAGUGGGUGCCACCUGGACUCCACUCUCCCCUCUCUCUGGGAUCAUAGAGUCCAAGGUGUUCUGUGGCCUCUCGGCCAAUCCCAGCAGCUCAGCGUGCAGAAGACUGAGGAGCCAUUGGUCAGUGUAGGAGGUGCCUGGAGUUUUGGAGAUGGGAUCCACAGGAAUUCAACACAACACGAAAUAAUCGACAAAUUCGGGGAAUGUUAAUCUGACCAUCCCCAGUUACAAAUGAUGUUUCAUGCUACCUUCUAUUCCUGCCUUCAUAAAUCAAGGUAAUUACUUGGCAAUCUGGCUAUGCCUUGUAAGGCAAAAGAGCUGUUCAUUUCUUGUGUCAAAUGGUGAACAGGGAGGGAGAGUAAAAUGGUAAAUAACCCUGCCUCCCAUCUGUGCCCAAUCAGCUCUAAAUCUCCAGGAAAAAGUGCGCUCAGGAUCGCCAGAGAAAUGUCCUUCCAACUGUGCAUGGAAAGGUAUGAUUUUGUGCAGCAGGUGAAGGACUGGCUAGAGUAAGUGUGUGCUGAGCUUUUGUGUUUGAAAGCGAGCCUGUGCACUUCUAA
rnacentral:sRNA from 1 species